ensembl:lncRNA
AUCAUUAGACGUGACUGAAGUAACAAUGAGAAAGCUGCCUGCUGCUGUAGCUCAACUCUCGUCUUCACAGAUGGGUAGACGUGGUGUUUUAUUAAGCUGCCGUCUUCAACAUUGUCAGCUUGUUCAAACCAAACCGCCAAAGUGCAAAGAGAGAGCGACGGUGCAGAACAAAUAACCUCACUGUUAGAAGUCCUAAAGACUCAUCCUGGCUCAUCUUCUCACAAGCGAAGGUAAGAAGCACAGAUUUGGCUUUUAAGUAGAUUUCCCCCAUUCAGCCAAUACACUAAAAUGUAGGCUUAUCUCAAGGCACAAAACAAGUUGUCUGUGUUGAUUCCUUGCCGUUUUAUUGGAUUGCGCUCCUUCAGUUAACAUGCUCAAAGUGUUGACAGCUCAAUUGAACGUCAACCUGAAUUGGCUAUGGAAGUGUCACUGCUGCGUUUGCUUGUGGGGACGAUGUGAUGAAAUGGCAUGUUUUGUGACGACCCCUAGUCUUUGAGUUGCCUUGUUUCCAAAGGAAACCUAUUACAUAAAUGCCCCGAUGGCUGAGAGAAUUCCUCUCCAUGGAGUCUUUGUUCCUGCCAAAGCUCUGUCGUGAGGUGUCAGGUGUUGACAAAAUUCAACUCUUAUUUCAGCGUGGUAAUGAGAAAACAGAGGAAGCGGACGCUCGCCAUUAUACACUUGGCAUUUGUAAAUAUGACAGCAAAACAAGGAGAAAUACUGAUGUGUUUUGCCAUGAAAGCCCUUUUCAAGCCACAUACAAAUGACCCCCACGUUGUUCCUCAAAUCCUCACCCCAAAAUAAGUAUGAUUUGUUUUUUCACAUCAGACUUGUUCUUGGCAGUUUUAGGGCGCACAGAUGUCCCCUCUUCGCUGUUCAGAUGGCUUGAGGGGGCAGGUACCAUCUGAGUCAUGUCACUGCAGAACUAAGUCAUUUUAACAGCUCCAUGUACUUAUUUUUGACAUGGAGUUCAACCUCAAUGGCACCAUAUUCUCAGAAUAGUAAAUCGCAUAUGACCAGAGACUAUAGGGCCUUGUUCAAAAGGACUGCACUGAAUAGGGAGAAGUAUGCCAACUGGGACACAAACACUGUGCUAAAAAUGUUAAUUAGACCAUAUUUUAAGUGUUUAAUCAAACACAUAGAAGAAACAUUUUGACAAUGUAUUGUUUGUCACCUCUAGAUUAAGAUGUGUGAUCAAAUUACUCAACAUCCUGUAUGACUCAACAGAUGCACUCAUGCUUGAUUUCUUUAAAGGACAUUUAGCAAUUUCUUUUGUGCUGUAUUGAUAGAGGAGAGAAAGCAGGAAGUCAGAAGAAUCUAAACCCAUGCUUCAGUGGUAAAGGUGUCAGGGAGGCCAGGGUUUAGACCACUAGCCUGCCUUCAGGCCACAAAGUCUUUUGUUUGCAUUAAAAAUCCCGUACAGACUGAGCAAGAAAAUGGCACACAGCAAUUGGUGGACCAAUGGGAAAGUGAUGAGGCUUUACAUAGGGCCGUGUUCUUAAAGAGUGAGUAAACAACCAAAGACUUUGAGACUGAAAGUGGUAAGUUGUCUCUAGGGUCGCAUAAAGUCUGGAAUGACACAUCGCCCGUUGACCGUGGGCGGAGUUUAACAAAUGGUUAAUGAAUUGUUACAAAGGCCACAUGUUGCUGUGCACAUGGAGUCCAUAUAUGGGGUUGGUUGCUGAUGGUCAGCGUAAAAGACACGUCCCCUUAACUGGAUACAAACAACGACCAACUGUAGAGGCACAUCAUGAGCUAGAACUCUUCGUCUAGUCCUUGGCCUUUGUUUUAAGCUGGUCAUGAAGGUCAUGCUGUUCCUCACUUUGUCUUUACAAGCCAUAUCCAACAACUUUCCCUGGACCGUUGUUCCAGUGUCUUUCCAUGGAAUCUAAAUCACUGUAAUUGGCCAGGAUUUGGUCCGGUGAAAUGGAUGCUGCUAGUUGUAGACAACAUAUAGGGGCAUAUUAUAAGGACAUAUUAUAAUGUCAAAAUGCAUUUUUGUUAAAUAAUCCGUCUUUUUGAACACACAAGCACUGGGAAAAACCCUGUGGAUUCCUCCUGAGGUACUCAGAGAGCUUGGAGAUUCGACAUUUUAAAAUGACACUGAUUGGGAAGUUUUUGGUGCUACAUACAGCACAACAACCAAUUGAAAAUGCAAACAUUGCAAGUUCACAUCCCUCACCCGGUUUAGCCAGCAGUCAUGACAUUUGGAAAAUAGUUCCCUCUGCUAACAAGGAAGAAAAUUCCCUCAAGAACCUGUAUUGUAUGCAACUGUGAAACUGUUAAAAUGCUAACCCUCGGGCAGCGGAUGAACAGUGAGCAUGAGUCUUGAAAUGUGGCAUCUGUAAACAGAAGUUGCUCAAAGUAAUGCUUUUCAGAUUUUAAUGGGUCCCAUUGACCAAUGAAAUUAAAUGCGGGCGAGGUCUGCCACGUCGAUGCAUAUAAAUGAGGAUAUUCAUAUUGUAACAACGUUUGGCACGUAUGUUGCAAACACUGUUCAGACUCAAUAUGCUAUGCAAGAGCUAUACUAUGCAUGCAAACCUUAUUCUGAAAUCUUAUUCUGAAAGUUGGCACCCAAGCCCAGAGGUGAGUGUCUAACCCACACAAUAUUUUAGGCAACACUGACAGGAUUUAGAAUGACCUUGGAUUAAUGAUGACUCUUAUCAUAGAGAUCUGGCAUUUACUAAAUUGAUUGGCCCUGGAUGCUGGUGCAUGGUGGAGGAUGACAUUUAUUAUUUUUCCUUCUUUCAAAUGUUCUUACAGAGAAGACAGAAGUGUGCGUUGCCUUGUAGUUUAGAGGGAUUUGAAACCAAAAGCCCUUUGUUAAAUGAUUCAACCAUCAAACUUUCUGUUCCACAAAAACCCGUUUGAUAGAUAUCUCCAUAGCAAAACUGAUUUGAUGUUUUUGAAUGUUUUUUUCACAUGCUAAUGAAAAAUUCUCUUUAAUUUCGAGAAGUGUAAUGGAACUGAAAGUGAAAAUUCUGAAAAUGGUGUUCAACUAAAAGUGGUAGAGUCCCAAGAUACCAUAUAUAUGAAAUGACCUUUGGGAGCUUCCUUUUAGAGCUUGCCUUUUAACUCUGCAAGUCUGAGAAACUAAGAGGAAAUAAGUGAUGACACAAGUCAGCAACAUUAUACAUUAGUCAACUGUCUUGAGCAUUAACAUGGAAAAUUGGGGGAAAAACAUAUUUUGUGUAUUGGAGACAUGUGCCCACUGACUCAUUUAAAAG